rnacentral:misc_RNA from 2 species
AACGCAUCUUGCGCUCCUUGGUAUUCCGAGGAGCAUGCCUGUUUGAGUGUCAUUAAAUUCUCAACCUUGCCUGCAUUUUGCAAGCAAGGCUUGGAUGUGGGGGUUUAUGCUGGCUUAUAAUGAGUCGGCUCCCCUGGAAUGCAUUAGUAGCUCACUUCGCACUAUUCAGCGUGAUAAUAUCUACACUGCUUAGGUGAAAUGCAUGAACUGCUUCAAACCGUCUGAGUUUCUCGGACACUAUAAUGACAAUCUUGACCUCAAAUCAGGUAGGACUACCCGCUGAACUUAA